rnacentral:rRNA from 1 species
GACGAACCGUGCGAACGUUAUUCGGAAUCACUGGGCUUAAAGCGCGUGUAGGCGGGUGGGAACGUCGGCCACUGAAAGCCCCCGGCUCAACCGGGGAAGGGGUGCCGAAACGGCCCGCCUGGAGGGACGUAGGGGGACCUGGAACUUCCGGUGGAGCGGUGAAAUGCGUUGAGAUCGGAAGGAACGCCCGUGGCGAAAGCGAGGUCCUGGACGUCAUCUGACGCUGAGACGCGAAAGCUAGGGGAGCGAA